UACGUAGGGUGCGAGCGUUAAUCGGAAUUACUGGGCGUAAAGCGUGCGCAGGCGGGCUUUUAAGCCAGACGUGAAAUCCCCGGGCUUAACCUGGGAAUGGCGUUUGGGACUGGAAGUCUGGAGUGCGGCAGAGGAGACUGGAAUUCCUGGUGUAGCAGUGAAAUGCGUAGAUAUCAGGAGGAACACCAAUUGCGAAGGCAGCUCGCUGGGACGUUACUGACGCUGAGACGCGAAAGCGUGGGGAGCAAACAGG
rnacentral:rRNA from 1 species